AUUUAUGCUUAAAUUAUACUUAUUAAUUUUAAUCGAAUUAUGUUAUAUAUGCCCACUCAAAAUCGUCAGAAGGUGCAUUGCGAUUAUUCCACCAAGGUUAUAACUUAUAACGAAUUAUACAAUAAGCCUAUAAAUAAUAUUUAAUAAUACACGUAAAUACAUGAAAUACAAUAAAUGAAGCGACGGUGAUCCAUUACCUAAUAACACUUCAAAUUCGGAAGUCAGAACCAUUUAUUCGGGUUUUGACUGCUGCUGCAUGAUGCAUUCGAGUGUUUGAACCGGGAUAAAAAGAAUUUUCACAAACGUUGGAAGCUAAUAACAUCAAGAGUCGACAUUAAAAUAAUGGUCCAGGAGCGGUGCCGACAAAAUUAGUGCCAUAGUGCGAAAAUUCUGAGUACAUAUUUUCUGCUCGUGACGUACAGUCGGCGCUCGACACAAUAACAACAUUAUCGGCACUCCCCCGCCGACCGAGUGGUAUUGGGCCGACGAGGUUUUCGCAAGCGUUGACGAAAAAAACCCGAAUGAAAAAGAACGG